GAGCCCAGCACGGCCACCGCCGGCCGCGUUGGAAGAGACCUCCAAGAUCACCGAGUCCAACCUCUGACAGUAACAAGUCCUCCACUAGACCAUAUCACUAAGCUGUACAUCUGAACGUCUUUUGAAGACCGUCAGGGAUGGUGACUCCACCACUUCCCUGGGCAGCCCAUCCCAAUGCCUAACAACCCUUUCGAUUCCUCUAGGCUUUCACAGAGACCUUGCAGCAGUUAAAAUAAACUGAAGAUAUUUGGAUUAGAGUAUCAGAUUCCAGGAACGGUCAUGACAACUGCAAGAUUGAAAGCAAGAUUUUUCUAAGAAAAUUAAAUUUCAUAUCGGAGGAGCUUAUCUAAGGAAUUUCAAGACUAUUCCGGCUAUUACCUUCAACAGCAUCACCUUUUCCUCUUUUAGAGAGUCAUUCUUAACAUGCACAGGAAAAGCAUUGCUCAGCAUCACAGCACUGACUGAACAAAUACUCUCCUGAAACAGGCUGGCUCAACCUUUUUUGAAAUGAUGUUUUAUGAAGACAAGCCUGCAUUUCCAAAUGUAAAACAAGCGCAUCAUCAGGCACAACAGUUUUCUAAAUCUGCUUAUUAGAGCACUGAAACACAGUAACAUGUUCACAUAUGCCACUACCUGGCAGUGAGGGUUGGGAGUGUUUCAUGCCAAGACUAGUGUAGGUCUGCUCUGCUAAAUGCAGAACAUUUCCUGGAUGCCUCUCAAAUACCACUGGUGUUGGAAAAAAUGCAAGUGGAUUGCCAUGCAGGCUUUGUACAAACUGUGGAAAUGGAAACACAGUAAAGCUGCUGUAGAUCAUAGGCUUAGGGAGGAGUACUCCUCCAUGCCAAGAAGUAACAAAUCAUUAUCUGCACAAUC